AAACUGUGAUAAGUAGUGUGAAUUGCAGAACUCCGUGAAUCAUCAAACCUUUGAACGCAUGUUGCGCUUGCUGAGCAAUCUGCAAGCAUGCCUGUUUGAGUACGGUUCUCUUUUAUCAAACUCUCUUCUUGUGAGAUGAGUUUGGAGUUGGGCAUCUGAGCUUUUCUGGCUCUGUUGCUUGAAAUGUUUUUUAGUGUUUUGCUUUGCUUCUAGUGAAUGUUUAGAGUUCUGGGAUGUCUCCUUGCAGUUGUUGGUAUUGAGACCGUGAUGCAGUAACUUUGCUUUCUCAUCUUGGCCUUGAUGCUGCUGCAAAUGCAAGUGAGCCUUGAAACUGGACAUGUCUUUGAAGCAAUUCAAGAUCUAAAAUCGAAGGGAGAAAGAAAACGGACCACGAUCUCAAAUCAGGUAAGAGCACCCGCUGAACUUAAGC
rnacentral:misc_RNA from 1 species